GGUGUGCGCGCGCAUCCAGGCAGCCUCUCCAUUACCUCAACAUUGCAAUCCGCGGAGGCACAGCCGACGUCAUCUUUAAUCAGCAUUCCUGCAGAAGUCGGGGCAACUCGACAGGAUCUAACUCCCGCCCUGGUGACAGGACGGCCAACACAACCAACGACUCCUGAUAACAACUACCACUGACGGGGCUCUAGAGGCUGUGGGCCCACAGCCUAACUAGCCCCAUAAAACACCCACGAAGAAGAAGAAGAAGAAGCACUGCAUUCAAGGCGAGUCAAAGAAAAAUAUGCGGGUUCUUCGGAGCAGCAAGCCACGCUCCUACAAUUCCUCAAACUCCCGUGAAUCAAGUGUCAACAAACAGCGUCCGUUCAAAAUGCCACUUCCUGACCUGAAAAAUAUGCGUGUUCUUCGGAGCAGCAAGCCACGCUCCUACAAUUCCUCAAACUCCCGUGAAUCAAGUGUCAACAAACAGCGUCCGUUCAAAAUGCCGCUUCCCGUCCUGAAAAAUGUGCGGGUUCUUCGGAGCAGCAAGCCCCUCCUAUCGCUACGCUCCUUCAAUUCCUCAAACUCAUGCAAAUCAAGUAUCAACAAACAGCGUCCAUUCAAAAUGCAGCUGCCCGACCUG